GGGGAUUUAGCUCAGUGGUAGAGCGCUUGCCUAGGAAGCACAAGGCCCUGGGUUCGGUCCAGUCCCCA
rnacentral:tRNA from 1 species